rnacentral:rRNA from 1 species
UUACUAAGAAUCCUGGCUGUCUGCAGUCGAGCGAAUGGAUUAAGAGCUUAGCUCUUAUGAAGUUAGCGGCGGACGGGUGAGUAACACGUGGGUAACCUGCCCAUAAGACUGGGAUAACUCCGGGAAACCGGGGCUAAUACCGGAUAACAUUUUGAACCGCAUGGUUCGAAAUUGAAAGGCGGCUUCGGCUGUCACUUAUGGAUGGACCCGCGUCGCAUUAGCUAGUUGGUGAGGUAACGGCUCACCAAGGCAACGAUGCGUAGCCGACCUGAGAGGGUGAUCGGCCACACUGGGACUGAGACACGGCCCAGACUCCUACGGGAGGCAGCAGUAGGGAAUCUUCCGCAAUGGACGAAAGUCUGACGGAGCAACGCCGCGUGAGUGAUGAAGGCUUUCGGGUCGUAAAACUCUGUUGUUAGGGAAGAACAAGUGCUAGUUGAAUAAGCUGGCACCUUGACGGUACCUAACCAGAAAGCCACGGCUAACUACGUGCCAGCAGCCGCGGUAAUACGUAGGUGGCAAGCGUUAUCCGGAAUUAUUGGGCGUAAAGCGCGCGCAGGUGGUUUCUUAAGUCUGAUGUGAAAGCCCACGGCUCAACCGUGGAGGGUCAUUGGAAACUGGGAGACUUGAGUGCAGAAGAGGAAAGUGGAAUUCCAUGUGUAGCGGUGAAAUGCGUAGAGAUAUGGAGGAACACCAGUGGCGAAGGCGACUUUCUGGUCUGUAACUGACACUGAGGCGCGAAAGCGUGGGGAGCAAACAGGAUUAGAUACCCUGGUAGUCCACGCCGUAAACGAUGAGUGCUAAGUGUUAGAGGGUUUCCGCCCUUUAGUGCUGAAGUUAACGCAUUAAGCACUCCGCCUGGGGAGUACGGCCGCAAGGCUGAAACUCAAAGGAAUUGACGGGGGGCCCGCACAAGCGGUGGAGCAUGUGGAUUUAAUUUCGAAGCAACGCGAAGAACCUUUACCAGUGUUGACAUCCUCUGACACCCUAAAGAAUAGGCUUCUCCUCAGGAGCAGAGUGACAGGUGGUGCAUGAUUGUCGUCAGCCUGUGUCGUGAGAAUGUGGGUUAGUCCCGCAACGAGCGCAUCCAUGAUCCUAGCUGCAUUCAUAGUCGGUCACCUCUUGAGCGUACUGCCAGGUGACCUAACGGAAGGAUAGAUUGAGGAAAUGUAACGCGGC